AGAGCGAACGCUGGCGGCAGGCCUAACACAUGCAAGUCGAGCGCCCGUAGCAAUACGGGAGCGGCAGACGGGAUAGUAACACGUGGGAACGCGCCCUUCGGUUCGGAAUAACUCAGGGAAACUUGAGCUAAUACCGGAUACGCCCUUACGGGGAAAGAUUUAUUGCCGAAGGAACGGCCCGCGUCCGAUUAGCUAGUUGGUGAGGUAAUGGCUCACCAAGGCGACGAUCGGUAGCUGGUCUGAGAGGAUGACCAGCAUCACUGGGACUGAGACACGGCCCAGACUCCUACGGGAGGCAGCAGUAGGGAAUCUUGCGCAAUGCGCGAAAGCGUGACGCAGCAACGCCGCGUGGGGGAAGAAGGCUCUCGGGUUGUAAACCCCCUUUCAGUUUGGGACGAAGCUUCGUCGGUUAAUAGCCGGCUGGAGUGACGGUACCUUCACAAGAAGCACCGGCUAACUACGUGCCAGCAGCCGC
rnacentral:rRNA from 1 species